AUGCCCUGGCAGUCAGAGGCGAUGAAGGACGUGCUAAUCUGCGAUAAGCGUCGGUAAGGUGAUAUGAACCGUUAUAACCGGCGAUUUCCGAAUGGGGAAACCCAGUGUGUUUCGACACACUAUCAUUAACUGAAUCCAUAGGUUAAUGAGGCGAACCGGGGGAACUGAAACAUCUAAGUACCCCGAGGAAAAGAAAUCAACCGAGAUUCCCCCAGUAGCGGCGAGCGAACGGGGAGCAGCCCAGAGCCUGAAUCAGUGUGUGUGUUAGUGGAAGCGUCUGGAAAGGCGCGCGAUACAGGGUGACAGCCCCGUACACAAAAAUGCACAUGCUGUGAGCUCGAUGAGUAGGGCGGGACACGUGGUAUCCUGUCUGAAUAUGGGGGGACCAUCCUCCAAGGCUAAAUACUCCUGACUGACCGAUAGUGAACCAGUACCGUGAGGGAAAGGCGAAAAGAACCCCGGCGAGGGGAGUGAAAAAGAACCUGAAACCGUGUACGUACAAGCAGUGGGAGCACGCUUAGGCGUGUGACUGCGUACCUUUUGUAUAAUGGGUCAGCGACUUAUAUUCUGUAGCAAGGUUAACCGAAUAGGGGAGCCGAAGGGAAACCGAGUCUUAACUGGGCGUUAAGUUGCAGGGUAUAGACCCGAAACCCGGUGAUCUAGCCAUGGGCAGGUUGAAGGUUGGGUAACACUAACUGGAGGACCGAACCGACUAAUGUUGAAAAAUUAGCGGAUGACUUGUGGCUGGGGGUGAAAGGCCAAUCAAACCGGGAGAUAGCUGGUUCUCCCCGAAAGCUAUUUAGGUAGCGCCUCGUGAAUUCAUCUCCGGGGGUAGAGCACUGUUUCGGCAAGGGGGUCAUCCCGACUUACCAACCCGAUGCAAACUGCGAAUACCGGAGAAUGUUAUCACGGGAGACACACGGCGGGUGCUAACGUCCGUCGUGAAGAGGGAAACAACCCAGACCGCCAGCUAAGGUCCCAAAGUCAUGGUUAAGUGGGAAACGAUGUGGGAAGGCCCAGACAGCCAGGAUGUUGGCUUAGAAGCAGCCAUCAUUUAAAGAAAGCGUAAUAGCUCACUGGUCGAGUCGGCCUGCGCGGAAGAUGUAACGGGGCUAAACCAUGCACCGAAGCUGCGGCAGCGACGCUGAUGCGUUGUUGGGUAGGGGAGCGUUCUGUAAGCCUGCGAAGGUGUGCUGUGAGGCAUGCUGGAGGUAUCAGAAGUGCGAAUGCUGACAUAAGUAACGAUAAAGCGGGUGAAAAGCCCGCUCGCCGGAAGACCAAGGGUUCCUGUCCAACGUUAAUCGGGGCAGGGUGAGUCGACCCCUAAGGCGAGGCCGAAAGGCGUAGUCGAUGGGAAACAGGUUAAUAUUCCUGUACUUGGUGUUACUGCGAAGGGGGGACGGAGAAGGCUAUGUUGGCCGGGCGACGGUUGUCCCGGUUUAAGCGUGUAGGCUGGUUUUCCAGGCAAAUCCGGAAAAUCAAGGCUGAGGCGUGAUGACGAGGCACUACGGUGCUGAAGCAACAAAUGCCCUGCUUCCAGGAAAAGCCUCUAAGCAUCAGGUAACAUCAAAUCGUACCCCAAACCGACACAGGUGGUCAGGUAGAGAAUACCAAGGCGCUUGAGAGAACUCGGGUGAAGGAACUAGGCAAAAUGGUGCCGUAACUUCGGGAGAAGGCACGCUGAUAUGUAGGUGAAGUCCCUUGCGGAUGGAGCUGAAAUCAGUCGAAGAUACCAGCUGGCUGCAACUGUUUAUUAAAAACACAGCACUGUGCAAACACGAAAGUGGACGUAUACGGUGUGACGCCUGCCCGGUGCCGGAAGGUUAAUUGAUGGGGUCAGCGCAAGCGAAGCUCUUGAUCGAAGCCCCGGUAAACGGCGGCCGUAACUAUAACGGUCCUAAGGUAGCGAAAUUCCUUGUCGGGUAAGUUCCGACCUGCACGAAUGGCGUAAUGAUGGCCAGGCUGUCUCCACCCGAGACUCAGUGAAAUUGAACUCGCUGUGAAGAUGCAGUGUACCCGCGGCAAGACGGAAAGACCCCGUGAACCUUUACUAUAGCUUGACACUGAACAUUGAGCCUUGAUGUGUAGGAUAGGUGGGAGGCUUUGAAGUGUGGACGCCAGUCUGCAUGGAGCCGACCUUGAAAUACCACCCUUUAAUGUUUGAUGUUCUAACGUUGACCCGUAAUCCGGGUUGCGGACAGUGUCUGGUGGGUAGUUUGACUGGGGCGGUCUCCUCCUAAAGAGUAACGGAGGAGCACGAAGGUUGGCUAAUCCUGGUCGGACAUCAGGAGGUUAGUGCAAUGGCAUAAGCCAGCUUGACUGCGAGCGUGACGGCGCGAGCAGGUGCGAAAGCAGGUCAUAGUGAUCCGGUGGUUCUGAAUGGAAGGGCCAUCGCUCAACGGAUAAAAGGUACUCCGGGGAUAACAGGCUGAUACCGCCCAAGAGUUCAUAUCGACGGCGGUGUUUGGCACCUCGAUGUCGGCUCAUCACAUCCUGGGGCUGAAGUAGGUCCCAAGGGUAUGGCUGUUCGCCAUUUAAAGUGGUACGCGAGCUGGGUUUAGAACGUCGUGAGACAGUUCGGUCCCUAUCUGCCGUGGGCGCUGGAGAACUGAGGGGGGCUGCUCCUAGUACGAGAGGACCGGAGUGGACGCAUCACUGGUGUUCGGGUUGUCAUGCCAAUGGCACUGCCCGGUAGCUAAAUGCGGAAGAGAUAAGUGCUGAAAGCAUCUAAGCACGAAACUUGCCCCGAGAUGAGUUCUCCCUGACUCCUUGAGAGUCCUGAAGGAACGUUGAAGACGACGACGUUGAUAGGCCGGGUGUGUAAGCGCAGCGAUGCGUUGAGCUAACCGGUACUAAUGAACCGUGAGGCUUAACCU
rnacentral:rRNA from 1 species